rnacentral:rRNA from 1 species
UACGUAGGGUGCGAGCGUUGUCCGGAAUUACUGGGCGUAAAGAGCUCGUAGGUGGUUUGUCGCGUUGUUCGUGAAAACCGGGGGCUUAACCCUCGGUGUGCGGGCGAUACGGGCAGACUUGAGUACUGCAGGGGAGACUGGAAUUCCUGGUGUAGCGGUGGAAUGCGCAGAUAUCAGGAGGAACACCGGUGGCGAAGGCGGCAUCCUGGACCGGCAUUGACGCUGAGGAGCGAAAGCCAGGGGAGCAAACGGG